GACGAACGCUGGCGGCGUGCUUAACACAUGCAAGUCGAACGAUGAACCCGGAGCUUGCUCCGGUGGAUUAGUGGCGAACGGGUGAGUAACACGUGAGUAACCUGCCCUUGACUCUGGGAUAACUGCGGGAAACUGUAGCUAAUACCGGAUACGACCCUCGGCGGCAUCGCCAGGGGGUGGAAAGAAUUUCGGUCAAGGAUGGAGUCGCGGCCUAGCAGCUAGUUGGUGAGGUAACGGCUCACCAAGGCGACGACGGGUAGGCGGCCUGGGAGGGUGUCCGGCCACACUGGGACUGAGGCACGGCCCAGAGUCCUACGGGAGGCAGCAGUGGGGAAUAGUGCACAAUGGGCGCAAGCCUGAUGCAGCAACGCCGCGUGAGGGAUGACGGCCUUCGGGUUGUAAACCUCUUUUAGUAGGGAAGGAGCGAAAGUGACGGUACCUGCAGAAAAAGCACCGGCUAACUACGUGCCAGCAGCCGCAGUAA
rnacentral:rRNA from 1 species